rnacentral:misc_RNA from 1 species
CUAUAUUCAUUUUCAAUUCGAAAGUCUUGGCUUUGUAAUUCUUUCUUAAAUAUUCUCUGUUUUACAGUUAAAUACCGUUCCUCACGGAAAUAGUGCUAUUUAUAUUUCACUUCUAAAAAAUAGAUUUUCUAACCCUUAUUCUGUGAUAAAUAAAUCUUACAGAGGGCAUUGGUAGUCAGGCUAACUUGAUUAAGCAAUGAGUUGCUUAAAG